UUAAGGUCUAAUCUGCUCAAUGACUGAUUAAAUAGCCGCAGUAUUUUGACUGUGCAAAGGUAGCUUAAUAAUUCGUUUCUUAAUUAGGAAUUUGUAUGAAUGAUUUGACAAGAAAAUUUCUGUCUCUUUUUGAUUUUAUGAACUUAAAUUUUAAGUUAAAAUGCUUAAAUGAUUAUUAAAGACGAGAAGACCCCAUAGAGUUUUAUUUUUAUAUAUUUUUAGUAUAAUUAUUUAAAGAAAAAUUAGUUGGGGUGACUAAAAGAUUAAAUUAACUCUUUUAAUUUAUAUCAUUGAUUUAUGAAUUGUAAGUCUAAUUUUUUAAAUUUAAAUUAAAUUACCUUGGGGAUAACAGCGUA
rnacentral:rRNA from 1 species